AGGUGGGGACGACGUCAAGUCAUCAUGGCCCUUACGAGUAGGGCUACACACGUGCUACAAUGGCGUAUACAGAGGGCUGCAAGCUAGCGAUAGUGAGCGAAUCCCACAAAGUACGUCGUAGUCCGGAUUGGAGUCUGCAACUCGACUCCAUGAAGUCGGAAUCGCUAGUAAUCGUGAAUCAGAAUGUCACGGUGAAUACGUUCCCGGGCCUUGUACACACCGCCCGUCACACCAUGGGAGUUGAUUGCUCCAGAAGUAGCUAGCUUAACCCUUCGGG
rnacentral:rRNA from 1 species